UACGUAGGGUGCAAGCGUUAAUCGGAAUUACUGGGCGUAAAGCGUGCGCAGGCGGUUUUGUAAGUCUGUCGUGAAAUCCCCGGGCUCAACCUGGGAAUUGCGAUGGAGACUGCAAGGCUAGAAUCUGGCAGAGGGGGGUAGAAUUCCACGUGUAGCAGUGAAAUGCGUAGAGAUGUGGAGGAACACCGAUGGCGAAGGCAGCCCCCUGAGUCAAGAUUGACGCUCAUGCACGAAAGCGUGGGGAGCAAACAGG
rnacentral:rRNA from 1 species